rnacentral:rRNA from 1 species
AACGAACGCUGGCGGCGUGUUUAAGACAUGCAAGUCGCACGGUGUCAUUUUGGUAGCAAUACUUGAAUGGCAUAGUGGCGCACGGGUGUGUAACACGUGAAUUACAUGCCCUGUAGAGGGGGAUAGCCCAGGGAAACUUGGAUUAAUACCCAUGGUCUCGCAAGAGUAAAGGUGGCCGCAAGGCUGUCGCUACAGGAUUGGUUCGCGCCCUAUCAGCUUGUUGGCGGGGUAACGGCCCACCAAGGCUACGACGGGUACCUGGUCUGAGAGGACGAUCAGGCACACUGGAACUGAGACACGGUCCAGACACCUACGGGUGGCAGCAGUCGAGAAUAAUUCACAAUGGGGGCGACCCUGAUGGUGCAACGCCGCGUGGAGGAUGACGGUCUUCGGAUUGUAAACUCCUGUCAUCCGGGAGUAAGACCUGGGAGUUAAUAGCUCACAGGGUUGAUAGUACCGGAAGAGGAAGGGACGGCUAACUUCGUGCCAGCCGCCGCAGUAAAAC